AAACCAACAGGGAUUGCCUCAGUAACGGCGAGUGAAGCGGCAACAGCUCAAAUUUGAAAUCUCCCGCAAGGGCGAGUUGUAAUUUGUAGAGGAUGUUUCGGGCACCGUCGCGGGUUAAAUUUCUUGGAACAGAAUGUCAGAGAGGGUGAGAGUCCCGUCUUGGCCCGCGGUAGGACCCAUGCGAAACUCCUUCGACGAGUCGAGUUGUUUGGGAAUGCAGCUCUAAAUGGGUGGUAAAUUUCAUCUAAAGCUAAAUAUUGGCCAGAGACCGAUAGCGCACAAGUAGAGUGAUCGAAAGAUGAAAAGCACUUUGAAAAGAGAGUUAAACAGUAUGUGAAAUUGUUGAAAGGGAAGCGCUUGCAACCAGACUCGAGCUUCGGGGUUCCCCCUCGCCUCUGCGUGGGCUACUCCCCGUUGACCGGGCCAACAUCAGUUUUGGGGGUCGUUGAAAGGCUCUGGGAAUGUAUCCUCCUCUUCGGCGGUGGACUUAUAGCCCAGGGUGUCAUGCGGCCUCCCGGGACUGAGGAACGCGCUUCGGCGAGGAUGUUGGCGUAAUGGUUGUAAGCGAC
rnacentral:rRNA from 1 species